rnacentral:rRNA from 1 species
GAGACGGCCGCAGAACCCAGACCGUGCAAAGGUAGCACAAUAACUUGUCCCUUAAAUGAGGACUCGUAUGAAAGGCAACACGAGAGAAAACCUGUCUCCUAAGGCAAGCCAGUGAAAUUGAACUGCCAGUACAAAAGCUGGCAUACUAAAGCAAGACAAAAAGACCCUGUGGAACUUAAAUGACUUGCCUACACGAACUAAGCAAUAAUUUUAGUUGGGACAACUACAGAAAAACUUAACUUCUGACACCCUCCAAGACCAACAAGCCUAAGAAACAAACCGGACCCAGUCAAACUGAUUAAUGAAAUAAGCUACCCCAGGGAUAACAGCGCUACCUUCUCAAAAAGUUCAUAUUGACAAGAAGAUCUACGACCUCGAUGUUGGAUCAGGAUACCCAGACGGUGCAACAGCUGUCAAAGGUUCGUUUGUUCAACGAUUAAU